GAAAAUGUGAAAUGGGCAAUCCUGCACACACAGUGUGCAGCAGGAAGAAAUCUUCUAAGAGGUAAUAAACGAAUAAUAUCGGUAAUGAUAUCACUAACCUAAAACAAAUAUGCUUCACUGCUAACUAGAGGACGUGUGAACCCAAAUACAGUCACAGUUUCAAUUAUACAAUUUUACAGGACAUUGUGUUCAUCUAUAAAGCUUCUAAAUGUAAAGAUAGAAAGCACCAACUGUGUAUAUUCAAUGAGAAGUACCUAGCAAACAUGCCAUAUCAACAGGAGUCGUCAUUGUCUGGAUCAGACUGGCCAAAUCUUACCUCUCUUGAGAGCUGGAGUAAUACUCUAUACAGAUGAGACAAGCUAAAAGGAGUCUGACGUUAUCUAGACUUUCUAAGUGUGCAGCAAACAAUUAGUUGCCAUUUACUGUUUUUUUCCUCAGUCCGAUGGAGUUAAAUUAGAAUUGCAUUGAUAUUACCAUUAAGCCUUUUCAACUUGGUUUUGCUUUAUGAGAUUUUUGAAGAGUUGUUUUGGCACUCCUAUUCAUUCUUUAUCAUAAAACCUGUUAAGAGAAUUGCACGCUUACUACACGUAGUGAAUGUGCUGUGUUUGUCCAGUAUCUUGUGGCAGACCUAAAACAACAAUUUGUGAUGACUGAGCUCAUACAGGGAUGUGUGAUCGUGCCCCAGAAAAAAGGCUACUACAUUAAAAAUUGUUGUGAAGUUGUUUUGGGUUUUGGCCAUUUGAUCUCCAGAUGAGAGCCUCAUUCCCUGUGGGCUUUGACCAUUUAUCUGUGUGAAGGUUUAUAAUAUUCCUAAGGUAUAAACAACUGCACACAAUAUGUUACUGCUUUUAUAGACUCUAACACUUUGUGCAAAAUCACAUUCACGCUUCGUUUACCAUAUCCCUUAGCUCCAGACAAAUCAGGGCCAUUUGUUCCGAACCACGUGGACAUAAGUGAGAAGACAUGGAGGGCAGGAGCUGACUACAUGUAUUUUAAAGGGUUAUUGGCCUCUCAUUCUGCAAAGAGCACAAGAUCAGAGUUAUGGCAAGAGGAACAUCACUGGAUCUCUGAUAAGAUCAGCCAUGAAUACUGUGGAGUGAACAGGAAGUUCCUUGAUCACUCACAUGUGGGUGAGUACCAUCACUUGGGGAGAUUCUGUUUUGGGGGGUUUUUUUGUUUGUUUGUUUUUGGGUUUGUUUUGUUGUUGUUGUUGUUGUUGUUGUUGUUGUUUUUUGGUUCAGAACUGUGAA
rnacentral:lncRNA from 1 species